CGUGUAGGCGGCUCCGUAAGUCGGGUGUGAAAUCCCUCGGCUCAACUGAGGAAGUGCACUCGAUACUGCAGAGCUAGAGUACCGGAGAGGGUGGUGGAAUUCCUGGUGUAGAGGUGAAAUUCGUAGAUAUCAGGAGGAACACCGGCGGCGAAGGCGGCCACCUGGACGGAUACUGACGCUCAGACGCGAAAGCGUGGGUAGCAAACAGGAUUAGAUACCCUGGUAGUCCACGCUGUAAACGAUGGGUACUAGGUGUCGCGGGUAUUGACCCCUGCGGUGCCGAAGCUAACGCAUUAAGUACCCCGCCUGGGGACUACGGCCGCAAGGCUAAA
rnacentral:rRNA from 1 species